rnacentral:rRNA from 1 species
GUGAGGAAUAUUGGUCAAUGGGCGGAAGCCUGAACCAGCCAUGCCGCGUGAAGGAAUAAGGCCCUAUGGGUCGUAAACUUCUUUUGGCGGGGAGCAAUAAGGUCUACGUGUAGACCGAUGAGAGUACUCGUUGAAUAAGCAUCGGCUAACUCCGUGCCAGCAGCCGCGGUAAUACGGAGGAUGCAAGCGUUAUCCGGAUUUAUUGGGUUUAAAGGGUGCGUAGGCUGUUUGUCAAGUCAGAGGUGAAAGGCCGCAGCUCAACUGUGGAAUUGCCUUUGAUACUGGCAGGCUUGAAUACUGUUGCCGUGGGAGGAAUGAGUAGUGUAGCGGUGAAAUGCAUAGAUAUUACUCAGAACACCGAUUGCGAAGGCAUCUCACGAAGCAGAGAUUGACGCUGAGGCACGAAAGCGUGGGGAUCAAACAGGAUUAGAUACCCUAGUAGUCC